GGUCCUGCCUGCCCCGUGACCCCCUGUUUAACGGCCGCGGUAUUUUGACCGUGCAAAGGUAGCGCAAUCACUUGUCUCUUAAAUGAAGACCUGUAUGAAUGGCAUGACGAGGGCUUAACUGUCUCCUUUUCUUGGUCAAUGAAAUUGAUCUUCCCGUGCAGAAGCGGGGGUGCCUACAUAAGACGAGAAGACCCUAUGGAGCUUUAGACACUAGAACAGAUCACGUAAACUACCUCUUAAAAAGUAACAACAAUUGAACCUCUGUUCCCCUGUCUUUGGUUGGGGCGACCACGGGGAAGAAAAAAACCCCCACGUGGGCUGGGAACAUAUUAUUCCUACAAUUACGAGCUACAGCUCUAGAGCGCAGAAUUUCUGACCAAUGAGAUCCGGCAAUGCCGAUCAACGGACCUAGUUACCCUAGGGAUAACAGCGCAAUCCCCUUUAAGAGUCCAUAUCGACAAGGGGGUUUACGACCUCGAUGUUGGAUCAAGACAUCCUAAUGGUGCAACCGCUAUUAAGGGUUCGUUUGUUCAACGAUUAAAGUCUU
rnacentral:rRNA from 1 species